rnacentral:rRNA from 1 species
CAGUCGCCGCGGGAAAACGAAGGGUGCAAGCGUUACUCGGAAUUACUGGGCGUAAAGCGUGCGUAGGUGGUGGUUUAAGUCCGUUGUGAAAGCCCUGGGCUCAACCUGGGAAUUGCAGUGGAUACUGGGUCACUAGAGUGUGGUAGAGGAUAGUGGAAUUUCCGGUGUAGCAGUGAAAUGCGUAGAGAUCGGAAGGAACAUCUGUGGCGAAGGCGACUAUCUGGGCCAACACUGACACUGAGGCACGAAAGCGUGGGGAGCAAACAGGAUUAGAUACCCCAGUAGUCCCUGUCUCUUAUAC